CGCUCUACCGUUCCGAGCUUACGAACGAAACUUAUAUAACUUACGCGAGUGUUAAAUUAAUAAUGUUAUUAUAAAAAAUAUUAAGUAUGCCUUAAGGAUUGGUCUAUUGAUGGUUUCAUAAAACUAACGUGCACCAGGAGACGAGUUACCUAUGUCUCCCUGCGGCGUGUGUAUCUUCAUGACAAUAAUAAGCAGUGCAUGGUCAGAUAGCACGAGCGAGACGCGCCUUGGGCCCGUUUUUACCACAGAACCUCCGAGCGUUGUGC